UACGUAGGGUGCAAGCGUUGUCCGGAAUUAUUGGGCGUAAAGAGCUCGUAGGCGGUCUGUCGCGUCGGACGUGAAAAUCCAGGGCUCAACCCUGGACCUGCGUUCGAUACGGGCAGACUAGAGUUCGGUAGGGGAGACUGGAAUUCCUGGUGUAGCGGUGAAAUGCGCAGAUAUCAGGAAGAACACCGGUGGCGAAGGCGGCUCUCUGGGCCUUACCUGACGCUGAGGAGCGAAAGCGUGGGUAGCGAACAGG
rnacentral:rRNA from 1 species